GCCGAGGUAGCUUAGUUAGGCAAAGCGCUCGUCUCCAAAACGUGUUGUGCUUUCACAUCCGGGGUUCGAAUCCCCGCCUCGGCG
rnacentral:tRNA from 1 species